GUGGGGAAUAUUGGACAAUGGGGGGAACCCUGAUCCAGCCAUGCCGCGUGUGUGAAGAAGGCCUUUUGGUUGUAAAGCACUUUAAGUGGGGAGGAGGCUUACCUGGUUAAUACCUGGGCUAAGUGGACGUUACCCACAGAAUAAGCACCGGCUAACUCUGUGCCAGCAGCCGCGGUAAUACAGAGGGUGCGAGCGUUAAUCGGAUUUACUGGGCGUAAAGCGCGCGUAGGUGGUUAAUUAAGUCAAAUGUGAAAUCCCCGAGCUUAACUUGGGAAUUGCAUUCGAUACUGGUUGGCUAGAGUAUGGGAGAGGAUGGUAGAAUUCCAGGUGUAGCGGUGAAAUGCGUAGAGAUCUGGAGGAAUACCGAUGGCGAAGGCAGCCAUCUGGCCUAAUACUGACACUGAGGUGCGAAAGCAUGGGGAGCAAACAGGAUUAGAAACCCCAGUAGUCC
rnacentral:rRNA from 1 species